rnacentral:rRNA from 1 species
UACAGAGGUCUCAAGCGUUGUUCGGAUUCAUUGGGCGUAAAGGGUGCGUAGGCGGCGCGGUAAGUCGGGUGUGAAAUCUCGGAGCUUAACUCCGAAACUGCAUUCGAUACUGCCGUGCUUGAGGACUGGAGAGGAGACUGGAAUUUACGGUGUAGCGGUGAAAUGCGUAGAUAUCGAGAGGAACACCUACGGCGAAGGCGGGUUGCUGGGCUGACACUGACGCUGAUGCGCGAAAGCCAGGGGAGCGAACGGG